rnacentral:lncRNA from 1 species
AUUUGAGACGAAAUUCUUCUCUACUACAGUUUGCUGAACGAUACAUUCUUGUCCCAAAAUUAUUAAAUGUCGUAUCUAAACGAAUUGCGAUCGAUUUCUUUCGACCGCUAGCAUAUUGUAGACCAUUCCCAUCCCUAACUAACUGUCCAUCCCAAUGAACACUCAGACAUGCGACGAUUAGCUAUUUUAACUAAACAAAAAAAAAAUUCAAAAAUAAUAUAAAAUAUUUAGUCAAUAUAAUACAAAAAAGAAUAAUAAAGGGGGGAAAAGAGGGAUUACAUGGAGACUUUCCUACCCCACACACUAAUCUAACAAAGAGGGAGGGAGGGACUACCCAAAGUGCUCACGAACAAGCACCCAAGGUGCUCACAAAGGAGGAGGAACCACCCAAAGUGACCACCUCCAGCAGCAAAUAGAGAGGGUGGUGGCCCAUCCUCUAACUGUCACUCCCCCCUCCCAACUGCCACUUCUCCCACUCCCUGCACAAAUCCACUGCAGCUGCUGCAGCGCCUACACAACCACCCAAUCCUCGCCGCCAAUGUCGCUGCUGUGCCAAGCUCAACCACCUCACACUACCACACAUCUCCUUUCUCUUUGCCAGCCAAUCUGUAGUGUACCGAAUUUUAAUAUAGAAGUAAGAGUAAAUAAAAAUAGUGUAAAAUACUAUUUUUAUUGGACUUAAAGAAGUUUUCUAUGUGCAAAUGAGGUGCUUACUUGGGGGUU